rnacentral:rRNA from 7 species
AAAUUGAAGAGUUUGAUCAUGGCUCAGAUUGAACGCUGGCGGCAGGCCUAACACAUGCAAGUCGAACGGUAACAGGAAGCAGCUUGCUGCUUUGCUGACGAGUGGCGGACGGGUGAGUAAUGUCUGGGAAACUGCCUGAUGGAGGGGGAUAACUACUGGAAACGGUGGCUAAUACCGCAUAACGUCGCAAGACCAAAGAGGGGGACCUUCGGGCCUCUUGCCAUCAGAUGUGCCCAGAUGGGAUUAGCUAGUUGGUGAGGUAACGGCUCACCAAGGCGACGAUCCCUAGCUGGUCUGAGAGGAUGACCAGCCACACUGGAACUGAGACACGGUCCAGACUCCUACGGGAGGCAGCAGUGGGGAAUAUUGCACAAUGGGCGCAAGCCUGAUGCAGCCAUGCCGCGUGUAUGAAGAAGGCCUUCGGGUUGUAAAGUACUUUCAGCGGGGAGGAAGGUGUUGUGGUUAAUAACCGCAGCAAUUGACGUUACCCGCAGAAGAAGCACCGGCUAACUCCGUGCCAGCAGCCGCGGUAAUACGGAGGGUGCAAGCGUUAAUCGGAAUUACUGGGCGUAAAGCGCACGCAGGCGGUCUGUCAAGUCGGAUGUGAAAUCCCCGGGCUCAACCUGGGAACUGCAUUCGAAACUGGCAGGCUUGAGUCUUGUAGAGGGGGGUAGAAUUCCAGGUGUAGCGGUGAAAUGCGUAGAGAUCUGGAGGAAUACCGGUGGCGAAGGCGGCCCCCUGGACAAAGACUGACGCUCAGGUGCGAAAGCGUGGGGAGCAAACAGGAUUAGAUACCCUGGUAGUCCACGCCGUAAACGAUGUCUACUUGGAGGUUGUGCCCUUGAGGCGUGGCUUCCGGAGCUAACGCGUUAAGUAGACCGCCUGGGGAGUACGGCCGCAAGGUUAAAACUCAAAUGAAUUGACGGGGGCCCGCACAAGCGGUGGAGCAUGUGGUUUAAUUCGAUGCAACGCGAAGAACCUUACCUGGUCUUGACAUCCACAGAACUUUCCAGAGAUGGAUUGGUGCCUUCGGGAACUGUGAGACAGGUGCUGCAUGGCUGUCGUCAGCUCGUGUUGUGAAAUGUUGGGUUAAGUCCCGCAACGAGCGCAACCCUUAUCCUUUGUUGCCAGCGAUUAGGUCGGGAACUCAAAGGAGACUGCCAGUGAUAAACUGGAGGAAGGUGGGGAUGACGUCAAGUCAUCAUGGCCCUUACGACCAGGGCUACACACGUGCUACAAUGGCGCAUACAAAGAGAAGCGACCUCGCGAGAGCAAGCGGACCUCAUAAAGUGCGUCGUAGUCCGGAUUGGAGUCUGCAACUCGACUCCAUGAAGUCGGAAUCGCUAGUAAUCGUGGAUCAGAAUGCCACGGUGAAUACGUUCCCGGGCCUUGUACACACCGCCCGUCACACCAUGGGAGUGGGUUGCAAAAGAAGUAGGUAGCUUAACCUUCGGGAGGGCGCUUACCACUUUGUGAUUCAUGACUGGGGUGAAGUCGUAACAAGGUAACCGUAGGGGAACCUGCGGUUGGAUCACCUCCUUACCUGAAAGAA